rnacentral:rRNA from 1 species
UACGUAGGGUGCAAGCGUUAAUCGGAAUUACUGGGCGUAAAGCGUGCGCAGGCGGUUAUGUAAGACAGUUGUGAAAUCCCCGGGCUCAACCUGGGAACUGCAUCUGUGACUGCAUAGCUAGAGUACGGUAGAGGGGGGAUGGAAUUCCGCGUGUAGCAGUGAAAAUGCGUAGAUAUGCGGAGGGAACACCGAUGGCGAAAGGCAAUCCCCCUGGACCUGUACUGACGCUCAUGCACGAAAAGCGUGGGGGAGCAAACAGG